rnacentral:rRNA from 1 species
AGCUCCAAUAGCGUAUAUUAAAGUUGCUGCAGUUAAAAAGCUCGUAGUUGCAUUUCCGAGGCAAGGGAUUAGUCCGACCUUUGGUGGGUAUUUAAUCCUCUUGCCUCGUCCUUGAGUGGUGCUUCUUGGUAUUAAGUUAUCGAGGAGAUAGCCGCUCAUCGUUUACUGUGAGAAAAUUAGAGUGUUCAAAGCAGGCUUAUGCCGUUGAAUAUAUUAGCAUGGAAUAAUAAGAUAGGACCUCGGUACUAUUUUGUGGGUUUGAGAACCAAGGUAAUGAUGAAUAGGGACAGUUGGGGGUAUUCGUAUUCAGUUGUCAGAGGUGAAAUUCUUAGAUUUACGGAAGACGAACUACUGCGAAAGCAUUUACCAAGGAUGUUUGCA